GAGAAUCAUUUGAACCCAGGAGGCAGAGGUUGCAGUGAGCCAAGAUUGCUCCAUUACGCUCCAGCCUGGUGACAGAGCUGUCUCAAAAAAUAAAGAACCCUCAGUGGACAUGAAGUGAGGGUGACGUGUGGUGUGAAGCAGGUGUCUGCUGAGUCUUGAGAAACCUCCCCUGGAGAUGUGCAGUGACCUCCAGAGAGACAGUGGUCACAUAACAGCAGAGCAGCAGAGGCCCCUUAACCCCAUGGUCACUGCCAGGAGCAAACUGUACAGGAAACGCCGACCUGGUGGCAUCACUGAGAGCACAGUGUCACAUGGUUCUUCUGCCGCACUGCAUGACCCGAAUCUAAUCCCCAGGAGACAUCAGACACAGACCCAAACCCAGGGACCUUCUGUGAAGUGACGGCCAACGCCUCCUAGUGUUACGUCUGGUUGCUAAAUGUACUCAGCUUAAGAAUCCAGACACCCUGUUGUUCCCACCAGAGCUUCUCAGAAGAUAUUUCGGGUAGUUCAUCAUCUGUCAUGUGCAGAAUGCAUUUUAUUUCUCAUAUACACUUGUCAUGAUAAGCCAGCCACAUUAUUAAAAGGCUCCCAAAGAGAAUUUCCGGAACAUUUUCCAAGCGUUCCCCUUGGGCAUGAGGUAAACCAGAGGUGGCUGUGGUCGCAGGCCUGGCCCCAUGGUUCUUCCCAGGAGGGCGAGGCCUGACCUUGAGGCCUGGAGCCCCCCAGGGUCGGAUCUGCAGCCCAGGGGCUGAUGUGCGGGGCCUCAUUUGCACAGGCCGGUUAGUCGGAGCGCUGGCUGUGUUCCACCCAGGCUUCAGAAGCAAGGCAAACCACCUUCCUGAAGCUUCCUGUAUCGUUUCCUCUGGCUGCAUUAACAGAUUACUGUCUGCCAGUGGCUUAAAGCAACGCAAGCAUUACUAUUCCACAGCAGUGUCUAAAAGGGGCCCAAGCUGGACACCGUGGCCCCCGCCUGUCAUCCCAGCAGUUUAGGAGGCCAAGGUGGGAGGAUCGCCUGAGGCCAGGAGUUUGAGAUCAGCCCUGGCAACACAGUGAAACCCUGUCUCUACAAAUUUUUAAAAAAACUUCCCUGGCAUGGUGGCAUGUACCUGUAGUCCCAGCUGCUCAGGAGGCUGAGGCGGGAGGGUCGCUUGAGCCUGGGACAUAGAGGCUGCAGUACACUAUGAUCACAUUGCUGCACUUCAGCCUGGAAGACAGAGCAAGACCCUGAUUCAAAUUAUAAAUAGCCCAACAGGGCUGUGUCCGCCCUCAGCAGGCUCUGGGGAAAACCUGUUUCCCACCUUCUCUGGCAUGUAGAGGCACCUCAGUCCUGAGCUGGGCCCUUCGUCCAUCCUCAAGCCAGCAGUGCAGCCCCUCCCAAUCCCUCCAGCCCCUGCCCCUGAGCGUGUGCCUCUGGCUCUGACCUCCUGCCUCCCUCUCAGGAUCCCUGGGCCUGCACGGGGCCCUGCUAAUCCAGGACCAUCCCUAUCGGUCUCAAACAACCCCAUCUGCAGAGUCCCUCUUGCCAUGUAAGGCACCAUGUUCAUAGGUCCCAGGGGCCAGGACGCACACAUCUUCAGGGACUUCUGUCCCUACAGCUCCUGGUUGUGAGGUAUGUGGGUGACUCAGGCUUGACCCGGAGUGGCACCAGGUCCUUCUGGUCGGUGGGGGGCCCUGUGGCUCUAGACAGCUGUGCGCCUCAGGUAUCUGCACUCGGAGGGGAGGGUGGUGGCCUGCUCGUCCACUCUGAAGAGUGGGGCGGAGGUCAUGACUUAGGGCACCAGGCUUGGUCUUCGGGGCCGCCCGCCUGACAGGGCCGGACAGAGUACGAUGGUUUGGGGUAGGGGGCGGGAGCCCGCCCCGCUUAGUCUGCAGGGGCUGCAUGACCUUCAAGGAAGCAGAAGUGCUGUGGUGGGGCGGCCCCUGCUGGACGGUGGCAGCACUGAGGCAGCCUCGAAGGUCAAUUGCAGGGGCAGGGCCAGGUGGCUGUCACCUGGGGCAGGGACUGUGUGGUUCGUGCAGGUAGGCCUCUGCCCCAGGACCCAGGCUAGGGCCAGGGCCGUGCAUCCUGAAGCCCCAUGCCUUCCUGACUCAGUAGCCCACAGGGGACUUGGGGAUCUAAGUAGAGCAAGGAGCCCCUUCCCACCACCUGCCCCCACCGCUUCUGCCAGCUCAAUUUUCAGGGGGUAUGGAGACCCACGUUUGGUCCAGAUCAGGGCAGCACAGGGUAGGUGCCUACAAAGUGUGGGGUGCAGUGAGGGACUGCAGGGGCUGACCCAGAGCCUGGGCAAGGCAGGGAUCUACCCACCAGUGGGGGCAGUGGUAGGGGCCAGGGCGGGAUGGUCCAGGCAGGGGCCCUUUGGACAGCAGAGCCACAGACCCUCCCCGGGGUCCCAGUUCUUCUCAAGGCAGAUUGUGGGAAGGCAUCAGCCCUCAUGGGCACCCGCUGAGGUGGGGUUCCUGCUUCACCGAGGCCUCUCUUUGAGGUGAGUGGCCUGGACAUGGGGCUGGGGGUGCUGGGAUUCUCUGAGGCCACCAGUGCACAUACCAAUCACUGUGCACAGACCAGCCAAACUUAGGGCCUCAAACCUCAUCUUCUGGCUCCCACCUCUAUGGCUCUGGGGCUGGCUGGGCUCAGCUGGGCAGUUCACAAGCAGGUAUGAGGAGGCUGGAGUCACUGGGCUCCUCCCUUGCUGCAUGGGUUCCAGCCCCUGAGUGGGCAGGACUGGGCUCAGGGCCCUGUUCCUGGGCUCUUUUCGAAUGGCCUCUGCAGUAUGGAGGCUGCAGAGGGGCCCAGCUGUGUAUGUGGAGGCAGGGCAGGGGCGAGGGGCCAGGCAGAAGCCACAUCCUCAUGUGACCCCAUGUCAGAGGUCACAGGCCACUGUCCUGCAUGGUCUGGGACAGUCACAGCCCCCCACCACAUUGCAGGUGGAAGUGAGAGGAGUGUCAGUCACAGUGUGGGGUGGGGCGGGGAGGGGAGGGAAGUGAAGGAAGAGGAUAGGUUCAUAGAUCGUGGAUAGAGAUGAUGGUGGUGACAGAUGAGUCACAGAUGGCAGAUAAACAGAUGACACAGGUAGAGGACAAGGAGACUGCUUGAUAAUACAGACGAUAGACAUGGACGGUGGAGGACAGACAGGUGA